CUCUGGUACACAGGCCCACAUGCCACCACAACAAAACAUGAUGGCUAAGGUUUAUUGCCCACUUGACUGGAUUUAGAAUCACCUAGAGAGAAACGCACCAAAGAACUUCAGGUGGUGUUCCAGCGACUUCUUGCCACUUUCCUGAACCCGGGCCAACUGGCAGAGCGUCUCGGAUCCUUCUAGACCGAACUACCAUUGCCCAUUCCAGGUUGGUGUUCAUGAGUGGAUCGAGUUACCACUGCUGAUUCGUGUGAACUAAACUGCUGAUAUCCUCCGGACAACACAGAUUGAUUCGCCCAGAGAACUAUUUCUAAGCCCUGAGGUCCACAUCCCCUUGUCCUAUUUACCAUCUUUUCUCCCCUACCUUUGGACGCCUACAGAGAUGUGAGCAGACUCCCUAUCUGAGGGCAGCACCGACCCAUGGGCUGGGGUCUUGGGUUGAAUAAAAAAGAGAGAUGGAGUGGAGAACACCAGUUUUCACUUCACUGCUUCCUGACGGCAGAUGCGCUGCUCCUCCCUCCCCACACCAUGAUGGACUCCAUCCCCUCAAACCACGGUCUAAAAUCACAUCGCUUUUGUCUCCUGUCACAGCAACAAGUAACAAGAUCUUCCAGUCUCAGAAGCUCUUCACAAGAAGCACUGUAGUCAUGCAAACUGAACUAAUGCUAUUGUUCUAGGGGCUCCCAACCCUGCUUGCUCACAAGGAUACUGUUCCCUGUUGCUGUCUGUGAUAAACACCAUGACUGAAAG